rnacentral:rRNA from 1 species
CAAUAUAUGAGACCGGCGCACGGGUGCGUAACGCGUAUGCAACCUACCUUUUACAGGGGGAUAGCCCAGAGAAAUUUGGAUUAAUACCCCAUGGUAUAUUUUAGUGGCAUCACUAGAUUAUUAAAGUUCCAACGGUAAAAGAUGGGCAUGCGUCCUAUUAGCUAGAUGGUAAGGUAACGGCUUACCAUGGCUACGAUAGGUAGGGGUCCUGAGAGGGAGAUCCCCCACACUGGUACUGAGACACGGACCAGACUCCUACGGGAGGCAGCAGUGAGGAAUAUUGGACAAUGGGCGCAAGCCUGAUCCAGCCAUGCCGCGUGCAGGAAGAAGCAUCUAUGGUGUGUAAACUGCUUUUGUACAGGAAGAAACACUCCCUCGUGAGGGAGCUUGACGGUACUGUAAGAAUAAGGAUCGGCUAACUCCGUGCCAGCAGCCGCGGUAAUACGGAGGAUCCAAGCGUUAUCCGGAAUCAUUGGGUUUAAAGGGUCCGUAGGCGGUUUGGUAAGUCAGUGGUGAAAGCCCAUCGCUCAACGGUGGAACGGCCAUUGAUACUGCCAGACUUGAAUUACCGGGAAGUAACUAGAAUAUGUAGUGUAGCGGUGAAAUGCUUAGAGAUUACAUGGAAUACCAAUUGCGAAGGCAGGUUACUACCAGUGGAUUGACGCUGAUGGA